CGGGCUGACGCGGCCCCGCUAUCAACAAAGCGCUUCAGAACCACCGGGCGCUAUUUUCCGAAAAUGCCGCGUCUGGUCGGCGCCCAAAAUCCCCACCGAAAAGUCCCCCGUGCUUCUCGCGGAGGGACACAUGGUGUGCGACCGGAGCUGCCUUUCCCGCACCCUAACCCCUGACCCCGCGGAAGAGAGAAGGGAUGGCGGUUCUGAUAUUUAACCGAGGAGAGGAAAUUAUGCCAUUUCAAGGUUUUCUGCUACACAAAGAAACCGGCGGAAUGAUCUGCUCGUGAUAAAUGCGAGUCCCGGCUAGUACUGCGCCUGCGUGCCAUGAGGGGGAGGUGGCUACUUGUCCAUGUGGACGCUUGUCCCGAGCGCAGGCAGUUCCUGGUCCCUUCCCGCCUGUUUUUAUUUUUCUCUUAGUUGAAAAGAACAAAACGACUAGCGGAGCAUUUCUGACCUUUAUUUGCCUUUGAUGGAAUCUGGAAUCCGCCAAUGCCCCUAAGUCCUGUUUGGUUGGAAGAGAAAUGGGGGGGUGGAAACGUGCACAUCAGCUUAAUAAGCUGGCCAACUGUGCCUAGUAGAAUUCUGGGAGGCUUGGGGGGCAGGGAGAAGGGGUGUCGUGUUACUCAGAACAACAGGGGUUUUACUUAAGGCUAUGUUAGAUUUAACUAGCUGGCGUUUGUCUAGGGGCUAGAUAACGAAAAAUAUUUGUACCAUGACCCUAUGUUACUAGAAUGACCACCUAGGAUGGGCUCUUAACAGGCUGUGACAGAUCUGGACUUUAGAGGGAUCACCUCGGCCUCAAGGAUGUAAAAGAAGCAGCCUUUCUUUACGCCAUUGAUGCGACAAACUUAACUGAAGCCCAGACCAUGGGACUUGAGUUCCCAGAUACUAAUCAUUACUUUACCUGGUGGUUAGAGCUGGUUGAGGUUCUGAGGCUGACUCUGUGACCCUGAACAAGUCAUUUAACCUUGCAUGUGACAAUACUAAAUUGUAACAUACUGACAGUGUGUGUGACCCUGGGCUAUUCACUUAGCUUCUCUGACCAUACAUAAGGCUGCUCAUAAAUUGAGCAUUUGCCCAUCUGAAUUGGUUGAGUUUUCUCACCAGGCUUUGAUAUAUUCAUUCACAGGGUAAAACAAUUCAGUUCAUUUGUAUUUUACAGCUUGCUGUUCUAUUUGGAAAAGUUGACUUCUCAACUGUCUGGCUUGAUGUCUGGCUAUAGAGUCCUAUACCCUCAACAAGAUUUGAAAAUUGAACUCCUGUUGUCCGUUUGACGUUUCAGGAUAAUACAGCAUACCUGAUUUAAAUACUUGUUAUCAAGCUCUGAAUUUUCUGGCGUUAAAAUUUACACAGUAAGUCAGUGAGCACUUUUUUAAGUUUACUGUGUUGCAGGUAUUGUGCUAAAAACCAGGGCCACAAUGAGAGUCAAAAAAGUAUAACCUGAGAGUGCACCUUCUAAAGGAGAAGACUACAUGAAAAUAACUAGAUAUAUAUAGAAGAUAUAUCUAGAGUAGGUGGAAAGUAACCUGAAAAAAUUAAGGCCUUAGCCAUUUAAAGGACCAGGAAAGAUUGCCUGCAAAAGUUGGCUUUAGAAUUGAGUCUCAGCAUAGGCAGCCCUUAAAAAUGCACUGAGGCAGGAUUUCAGGGAUUGCUUAUAGACCAAUGUAACUGGAUCAUAGAAUUCUUGUAGAGGAGUAAAGUGUGAAAAAGACUAGAAAGGUAAGAAGGCGACAAAUUAUAAAGAGCUUUACAUGCUAACCCUAAUCAUUCAAGCAUAUUUGUCAGUGCUAGUGGUACCAGAAAAACAAAUCCCAAAUAGUCACUGCCCUCAAGUAAUUUUACUUUCUAUUUCUAAAUCUGCUUAUUUCUCCUUUUUUAAAAUGUAUGUAAUUUAGACUUCAAAAGUUCUGGUUUAAUUUUUUUUAAUUGACAUACCCCAAAAAAAAUAAAUUGUAAUUUUAAUUACAUACUUUUUUUGUUUGUUUUUUAACAAUUUAAGAUCUUAUAGCUAAUAAGAGAAUUGGCAGGUUUGCUGUCAUUAGCAUUCACUUUUCUGUAAUGAUUUCUGAGGAGGUGCUAACAUAUUUUUUCAUUUCAAAAUCUGAAGGGAAAAUGGCAAGAAGGUAUGUACAAAGUUUAGUAACAGAACUGAAGUUAUUUGUGUAAGGAAAAUUCAGUGCUCAUAGGAAACAGUGAAAAGAAAUUGAAUGAAAAAAGUUUUCAAGAAAAUGGAAUAGUAAGUAACAAAUCACAAUUUUGCAACCUGGCUAUGGCUGCUUACCUAGAAACAUUUUUUUAAAUCCAUGUAAGAUUUUUCUGAACAAACUAAACUGCUAAAAAUUCAAAAAUUGACCUUUUGAAAUUGCAAGAUCAGGUUUUGUGUGUUUAUGGUUUUAAACUUUGAUGCAUAUAUAAUAUCCAACUGAAACAUAAACUAGUAGUUAUGCCAAUCAGGAAUUAAAUGGUAAAGUAUUGGGUAGACGGUGAAGUUCUUUGUAAAAGCAAUCACUAUACAUCAUUGGGUAAUGCAAAAGAGAAAACUUACCAACUGCUUUUCCUUUUAUUAAAGAUAGAGAAAAAUAAGCAUUUAUUAGGCACCAUGUGCCAAGCACUUUGCUAAAUUCAAAGAAAACAAAGACAAGUAAAAGUCCCUAUCUUCAAAGAUCUUACAUCUAGAACUGGAAGGGACUUAAGAGGCCAGUUAGUCUAACUCUUUCAUUUUACAGAUGAGGAAACUGAGGUAUGGAGAGGUUGAAUAACUUCCUGAGGGAUCACAGAACUAAUGUAUAAGGAUGCAUUUGAAUCCUGGUCUUCCUGAUUCCAAGUCUAAUGUUCACUCAAAGGCCCAAGGUCACAGAGAUAUUAAAUGACAGGCAUAAUUUGAACAUAAGGGGCUCCUCCUAUUAUGCUUCAAUGUUGUUAUAUGCCUUGUAUAAAUGGAGAUUUUGAACCUUUGACUUCGUUCUCCAGAAAUCCUUAGUAUUUCCCAAAAUUCCUAUAAUCUCUCGCGUCUCCAUGUUGGUAUUUAAGUGGGAAUAUGCUCUGCCCAUGCUCUCUUUUUGACCAACCGGGCUGAAUUCAAGCAGUUCUUUCACUUUAGUUAUUAUUAAUAAAACUUUAUAAAAUAUAUUUAGUUAUUGUAUAUUAAUUUUAAUCUGUACAGCCAGGUUAUACAAUCUCUUUCCAUAUUCUGUUAGGGAGGAUGUACCUAUGAAAUGGAUAUGGCGAUUUUGAAGAAAACCCAAACACCUGGAGAUUCAGGAAAGACCUUGUGUAGAUAGUACUCAAACUGAGUCUUAAAAGAAACUAAGGGCUCUAAGAGUUAGAAGUGUAAGGAGGGAAAAGGGUUAAUUUUAUAAAGGGUUGGAUUUUAUAUUUUAAGAAUGUGGUCGCCAAGAAUUUAAUUAAUUCCAAAGAGAUUUUAUUUACAAUUUAUUUUUUAAAAUGUAGAAAGAGUGAAGCAAGAAAUCAGAGAGAAGUUAGGGUAAGUUAUCUAGCCUAGGCACUAAGUAAUUUACUCCCAGCCACCACCAACACCCCCCCACCCCACUUCCCAGCAGAGAGUUAGUUUCAGCUGGCUUUGGCAAAGCUGAGGACCUGAGAAGUUUCUCAAGAAGAUAGGUCUUUCCUGAGGCCGGUCUCUUCAGAGAAAAACCAGCAAUUAAGUCAUCCUUUUCACUUACCACGUGUCAGGCCAGUCAGCAGAUCCUUCUGCCCCUCUUCACCAGUCUCAACUAGAAAGCAUGAAGAAUUCAAAUCUCACAGGAAGUAACAGCUCCUUUUAAAGACAUUUUCUCUCAUCACUUCCUGUGCCUUCCCCCAAUCACAGUUGCUCUAGGACUUCCCAGAAGGCAGGCAGUCGAUUCUGAUUCAUCACCCACUAUCACACACGUGGGUCACAGACCUCCCCCACUCAAGUGUGAAUGGGGUGUUUGCACCUUUGGUGAUUAAAUCUGAAAUGGAUAAAUCUUCAUACUCAACUUUUAAGUAGGGUGUUUACACUUUUGGGAAUUAAAUCUAAAAACCAUGUUCUAAAAAUAGGGGUUACAAUUUAAUCUUCACAAUCGGGAGAGUUAAUUUUAAUCUUCACAGAAGUGAGGAGGGAAUGUGGUCUGGGAAUUGGGAAGACCAAUGCAAAGGCACAGAGAUAGGAAAUAGAUUUCUAUAAUUAAUAACUGUCCUCUUUUCUUUACAUAUAAAAUCUCAUCAACAUUCCUUUGUAUUGGCCAUCCUCCUCACAACUCCUCACUAUAGAAUCCUUCAAGAUGAAAUUUAAGAACCUCUUAUACAUGUAACCUUUUCUGAUUCCCCACCCCACCACCAACUAACUAGUUACCUCUUUUCCAAACAGCCUAGUAAGUUACUACUUUGUAUUUAUUAUGUAUUUAGAUGAGGAAACUGAAUCCUUAGGACUUAUAUUUGUACUUGUCUCCCCUACUCAACUGUAAGCUUUCUAGGAGUUUCAUUCUUUGUAUCCCCUGGUACAAAGUAGGCAAUAAAUAGUUGUUCCAAUACCUCAUCAUCCAAUACCCUUAUGAUUGAAGGGUAGAGGGCUCCCAAAACUUUUAAGGAAGGUUCUCAGGCCAGGCAUCUCUUCAUUUCCCACUCACUCCUUUGGACUUCUCCAUCAUGGCCCUUUGACAGGUACAUUUACCCUCUUCCCUGUUUAGCUUCCUUUUGUGCAUUGUCUUCCCCUAUUAGGUUGUAAGUAUCUGGAGGGCAAGGACUCCCCUUUUCCAUAUUUGUAUCCCCAGUGUUUAUUUAGCAUAAUACCUGGUACAUAAUAGGUCCUUAAUGUUUAUUGAUUGAUUGAAAUAUAUUCUUCAUCAUCUCUCUGUAAACCUCUUAUAGUCCCCAAAUCCAAAAAAGUUAGCCCAAAAGAUAAAACGGUUGAAUUUAGUACCAAAGGAAAAAAAAGCUGCAUUUCAUCUUCUAGUAACAUGAAAAUAAAGGCCUUUCAAACAUA